rnacentral:tRNA from 1 species
CGUCAUUGUUGGGCGUCGGCAUGAACGCCGGCGCUGGCGGGGCCGGCGGCAAUGGUGGGGAUACGACGGUGCCAUUGUUCGACUCCGGCGUCGGCGG